rnacentral:rRNA from 1 species
CAGGUGGGUGAGGAGAGUAUCCUAAGGCCAGCGAGAGAACUGUUGUUAAGGAACUCGGCAAAAUGACCCCGUAACUUAGGGAUAAGGGGUGCCACCAUCAGGUGGCCGCAGAGAAUAGGCCCAAGCGACUGUUUACCAAAAACAUAGGUUUCUGCUAAGUCGCAAGACGAUGUAUAGGAGCUGACGCCUGCCCGGUGCUGGAAGGUUAAGGGGAUCUGUUAGAGCAAUCGAAGCAGUGAACUUAAGCCCCAGUAAACGGCGGCCGUAACUAUAACGGUCCUAAGGUAGCGAAAUUCCUUGUCGGGUAAGUUCCGACCCGCACGAAAGGCGUAACGAUUUGGGCACUGUCUCAACAACAGACUCGGUGAAAUUGUAAUUCCGGUGAAGAUGCCGGAUACCUGCGACAGGACGGAAAGACCCCAUGGAGCUUUACUGUAGCUUGACAUUGGGUCUUGGUACUACAUGUACAGGAUAGGUGGGAGGCUUUGAAACCAGGACGCCAGUUUUGGCGGAGCCAUCCUUGGGAUACCACCCUUGUAGUACUGGGACUCUAACCAUAGGCCAUGAAUCUGGUCUUGGGACACUGUCAGGUGGGCAGUUUGACUGGGGCGGUCGCCUCCCAAAAGGUAACGGAGGCGCUCAAAGGUUCUCUCAGUACGGUCGGAAAUCGUACGUAGAGUGUAAAGGCAAAAGAGAGCUUGAUUGCAAGACAUACAGGUCGAGCAAGGAUGAAAAUCGGACUUAGUGAUCCGGUGGUUCUGCGUGGAAGGGCCAUCGCUCAACGGAUAAAAGCUACCCUGGGGAUAACAGGCUUAUCUCCCCCAAGAGUCCACAUCGACGGGGAGGUUUGGCACCUCGAUGUCGGCUCAUCACAUCCUGGGGCUGUAGUAGGUCCCAAGGGUUGGGCUGUUCGCCCAUUAAAGUGGUACGCGAGCUGGGUUCAGAACGUCGUGAGACAGUUCGGUCCCUAUCCGUCGCAGGCGUAGGAAAUUUGAGAAGACCUGUCCUUAGUACGAGAGGACCGGGAUGGACG